rnacentral:rRNA from 1 species
GAGUUUGAUCCUGGCUCAGGAUGAACGCUAGCGGCAGGCUUAACACAUGCAAGUCGAGGGGUAGAGUAGCAAUACUUGAGACCGGCGCACGGGUGCGUAACGCGUAUGCAACCUACCUUUUACAGAGGGAUAGCCCAGAGAAAUUUGGAUUAAUACCCCAUAGUGUAACGGAAAGGCAUCUUUUUGUUACUAAAGUUCCAACGGUACAAGAUGAGCAUGCGUCCCAUUAGCUAGUUGGUGUGGUAACGGCAUACCAAGGCAACGAUGGGUAGGGGUCCUGAGAGGGAGAUCCCCCACACUGGUACUGAGACACGGACCAGACUCCUACGGGAGGCAGCAGUGAGGAAUAUUGGUCAAUGGGCGCAAGCCUGAACCAGCCAUGCCGCGUGCAGGAUGACGGUCCUAUGGAUUGUAAACUGCUUUUGUACAGGAAGAAACACUCCCUCGUGAGGGAACUUGACGGUACUGUAAGAAUAAGGAUCGGCUAACUCCGUGCCAGCAGCCGCCGUAAG